AGAACCACCACUUUUCCUUCUGGGACCUGCACAGAGAAAGGGAGGGAGAGAUGCAUCUUGAAGUGUAACUGACAUCAUGUAUCUGUCUGAUUCUCCCUAUUUUCACAUCCUUCACUUCUCACCAGUAUCAUCUCGCCAGGCUUAUGGAGUUGAUUAUAGACCAUCACCACCCUGUUCUCUUAUUUUCUGCUACAAUCAGCAGCUCCCUGUCACCAGCCAAGCUUGAAUUGCUUCUUUGAAGACCCUACUCCCUCCCAGAGUUGGAAAAAGGAAGUUGAAAUGUGAGAGGUUGCUGGUUCUGGGGUAAGAACUUACAGAAACGCAUUCGGAUUUAGCCAAGUAGUUAUGCCUUACGGUGAUGGGUGCUCACGGACAGCUUUGUUCCAUGAGCACAUGGAGCCAAGUGCUACUUUACUAACACCAGUCCUGCAGCACUCAGUCCUACCCCUGGGUUUUCUGCUCCCCCAUGCAGCCCCGAAUGGGAACUAGGACGUGGGACUGACCCACACUGAAGAGGGAGAGGGUGGUGUCAAACCAACCAAACUCUGAUUUGCUAGCCAAUUAUUCGCUCAAGUCUUGGGUUUUCUGUUUCGUGGUAUAAGUAAUUCUAUGCAGUGCCGUAUGCUUCCUUUGCCUUUCUCUACCACUGACUAUGUUAUACUAUACUACAUUACAUUAUCUGAUUAUAUUUCAUUAUAGUUUUUCAUCUCUCUAGCUACUAUUAGUUCAGUCUACUUAAUCUUGGUCAAGACUGUUCCCC